UGUGUGCAGAGGAGUUUUCUCUCUCUCUCUCUCUCGUUUUUUCCCCUGUGCUCCUCGGUGAUCCUUUCAAUACAAAUCCAAAACGAAAAUCAAAGAUGAUAAGGUCUUGUUGGCAACAGGGAAGAAAUUGUGCUGAAUGAGUUGUCCAUGGAGAAUUUAUCUGGGAGUGCAAACAAGCCCUUAACGAAGUUGUCUAAACACAACUGGGUUACUGAACUGGAUUGGAUCUUGAACUGAAUCCAGUCAUGGGGCUUCGUCCAGUUAAAAAUGAAAUUGGUGGGGAAGACCAGUUUCGGGCCUUUCGGCUUCGCGGAAGCAUUCUCUGUCCGGUGCGUGGAAUAGAGGAUAAGCAAAGAAGGGAACAAGCGCUGGCAUGGUCCGGACGAUAGCCUAUUAGCCUUCCCUUGUUCAACUUCUUUUCUCUCCAUGCAGAUUGUUCGUUAUCCCCUGAUCUCUCUACCGGGAGUUCCCCGAGAUCAGCUGGAGUUUGGUCGGAGAACGGUCUUCUUGGGGCAUCGGACACUGGAAAUCACCGCACCAACUAGGUGUUCCGUCUCUUUGGAACUGGUGUAGUUGGUGCAACCAUCUGUCUGUACAUAGAGCAAUAUGGAAACGAUUCUUCAAAGACAGGAUGAGAUUCUCAAGAAACACUGGCUCAUCUGGUGGAAGUCGCGUUGAAGCUUUCCAAGAUGCAUGAGUUCACCAGCCACUCUACUCCUACAGUUAUGACUUGAGUGACAUAUAGCCACUUAUGCAGGCAUGAAUUUUUGAACAAAGGGCUGAUGAAUCUAUGAUUCAACUUUGCUUGAGAAUAACGUCAAGAACCAUGAAGCUCCCAAUCAUGUGGAGUGUUUGCAUAGUUUUGCUGCUGGGCAAGCAACUCUACAGCUAUGCUAUGUUAAAUAUAUAAAUGAACUUUGCCACUAUGUUA